rnacentral:rRNA from 1 species
UGAGGAAUAUUGGACAAUGGGCGAGAGCCUGAUCCAGCCAUGCCGCGUGCAGGAAGACUGCCCUAUGGGUUGUAAACUGCUUUUAUACAGGAAGAAACACUCCCUCGUGAGGGAGCUUGACGGUACUGUAAGAAUAAGGAUCGGCUAACUCCGUGCCAGCAGCCGCGGUAAUACGGAGGAUCCAAGCGUUAUCCGGAAUCAUUGGGUUUAAAGGGUCCGUAGGUGGAUAAUUAAGUCAGAGGUGAAAGUCUGCAGCUCAACUGUAGAAUUGCCUUUGAUACUGGUUAUCUUGAAUUAUUAUGAAGUAGUUAGAAUAUGUAGUGUAGCGGUGAAAUGCAUAGAUAUUACAUAGAAUACCAAUUGCGAAGGCAGAUUACUAAUAAUAUAUUGACACUGAUGGACGAAAGCGUGGGGAGCGAACA